GACGAACCGUGCGAACGUUGUUCGGAAUCACUGGGCUUAAAGGGCGCGUAGGCGGGCCAUAAAGUCAGGGGUGAAAUCCUCCAGCUUAACUGGAGAACUGCCUUUGAUACUGAUGGUCUCGAGUAAGGUAGGGGCAUGCGGAACUGAUGGUGGAGCGGUGAAAUGUGUUGAUAUCAUCAGGAACUCCGGUGGCGAAGGCGGCAUGCUGGACCUUCACUGACGCUGAGGCGCGAAAGGCUAGGGGAGCGAACGGG
rnacentral:rRNA from 1 species